UACGUAGGGUGCGAGCGUUGUUCGGAAUGACUGGGCGUAAAGGGCGCGUAGGCGGCUUUUUAAGUGAGGCGUGAAAGCCCUGGGCUUAACCCAGGAGGUGCGUUUCAUACUGAAAGGCUUGAGUACGAGAGAGGAAAGUGGAAUUCCUAGUGUAGAGGUGAAAUUCGUAGAUAUUAGGAAGAACACCAGUGGCGAAGGCGGCUUUCUGGCUCGUAACUGACGCUGAGGCGCGAAAGCGUGGGGAGCAAACAGG
rnacentral:rRNA from 1 species